GGACUUUUUGUGCAAACACAUAUGGACACACAAAGCUUUUCUCUUUACGAAGGAUUGAAAUUUGUCUUGGAUUCACAAAGGACCAGGUCCAGUGCUGGAAACGAGCAUCUCCUGAGGACUGACCUGCCUAUCAGCUGUGCCUGUACAGCACCAAGCACAAUGAUGUACUUGAACCCAGUGAAGCAUUUGAGUCUGUAACUACAGCUCCUCAGCACCAGAAUACUGUAAAUAAGACAUGAUGACUUCUCUACCCCUUUUGUCAAAGAAUCACUAAAUACCAUACUUUCAUUUCAAGAGAAGAAAGUGAUCUUCAUUUGAGGAUAUUGUC
rnacentral:lncRNA from 1 species